UACGGAAGGCAGCAGGGGGAAUAUUGCACAAUGGGCGCAAGCCUGAUGCAGCCAUGCCGCGUGUAUGAAGAAGGCCUUCGGGUUGUAAAGUACUUUCAGUCGUGAGGAAGGUGUUAAGGUUAAUAACCUUAGCAAUUGACGUUAGCGACAGAAGAAGCACCGGCUAACUCCGUGCCAGCAGCCGCGGUAAUACGGAGGGUGCGAGCGUUAAAUCGGAAUUACUGGGCGUAAAGGGCACGCAGGCGGUUAAUUAAGUUGGAUGUGAAAUCCCCGGGCUUAAACCUGGGAAUGGCAUUCAAGACUGGUUAGCUAGAGUCUUGUAGAGGGGGUAGAAUUCCAUGUGUAGCGGUGAAAAUGCGUAGAGAUGUGGAGGAAUACCGGUGGCGAAAGGCGGCCCCUGGACAAAAGACUGACGCUCAUGUGCGAAAAGCGUGGGGAGCAAAACAGGGAUUAGAUACC
rnacentral:rRNA from 1 species